rnacentral:rRNA from 1 species
UACGUAGGUGGCAAGCGUUGUCCGGAAUUAUUGGGCGUAAAGCGCGCGCAGGCGGUUCCUUAAGUCUGAUGUGAAAGCCCACGGCUCAACCGUGGAGGGUCAUUGGAAACUGGGGAACUUGAGUGCAGGAGAGAAGAGUGGAAUUCCACGUGUAGCGGUGAAAUGCGUAGAGAUGUGGAGGAACACCAGUGGCGAAGGCGACUCUUUGGCCUGUAACUGACGCUGAGGAGCGAAAGCAUGGGGAGCGAACAGG